rnacentral:rRNA from 1 species
AGUGAACGCUGGCGGUAGGCCUAACACAUGCAAGUCGAACGGCAGCACAGUAAGAGCUUGCUCUUACGGGUGGCGAGUGGCGGACGGGUGAGGAAUACAUCGGAAUCUACUUUUUCGUGGGGGAUAACGUAGGGAAGCUUACGCUAAUACCGCAUACGACCUACGGGUGAAAGCAGGGGAUCUUCGGACCUUGCGCGAUUGAAAGAGCCGAUGUCGGAUUAGCUAGUUGGCGGGGUAAAGGCCCACCAAGGCGACGAUCCGUAGCUGGUCUGAGAGGAUGAUCAGCCACACUGGAACUGAGACACGGUCCAGACUCCUACGGGAGGCAGCAGUGGGGAAUAUUGGACAAUGGGCGCAAGCCUGAUCCAGCCAUACCGCGUGGGUGAAGAAGGCCUUCGGGUUGUAAAGCCCUUUUGUUGGGAAAGAAAAGCAGCAGGUUAAUACCCCGCUGUUCUGACGGUACCCAAAGAAUAAGCACCGGCUAACUUCGUG